rnacentral:rRNA from 1 species
CCUACGGGGGGCUGCAGUGAGGAAUAUUGGUCAAUGGGCGGAAGCCUGAACCAGCCAAGUCGCGUGAGGGAUUAAGGCCCUAUGGGUCGUAAACCUCUUUUGUCAGGGAGCAAUGGCGUCCACGUGUGGGCGUAUGGAGAGUACCUGAAGAAAAAGCAUCGGCUAACUACGUGCCAGCAGCCGCGGUAAUACGUAGGUGGCAAGCGUUAUCCGGAUUUACGGGGUGUAAAGGGCGUGUAGGCGGGAAAGCAAGUCAGAUGUGAAAACCAUGGGCUCACACUGUGGCCUGCAUUUGAAACUGUUUUUCUUGAGUGCUGGAGAGGCAGACGGAAUGCCUGGUGUAGCGGGGAAAUGCGUAGAUAUAAGGAGGAACACCAGUGGCGAAGGCGGUCUGCUGGACAGCAACUGACGCGGAGGCGCGAAAGCGUGGGGAGCAAACAGGAUUAGAUACCCCUGUAGUC